rnacentral:rRNA from 1 species
UACGGGGGGAGCAAGCGUUGUUCGGAUUUACUGGGCGUAAAGGGCGCGUAGGCGGCCACCGCAAGUCGACUGUGAAAUCUCCGGGCUUAACCCGGAAAGGUCAGCCGAUACUGCGGGGCUAGAGUGCAGAAGGGGCAACUGGAAUUCUCGGUGUAGCGGUGAAAUGCGUAGAUAUCGAGAGGAACACCUGCGGCGAAGGCGGGUUGCUGGGCCGACACUGACGCUGAGGCGCGAAAGCGUGGGGAGCGAACAGG